rnacentral:rRNA from 1 species
AGUGAACGCUGGCGGUAGGCCUAACACAUGCAAGUCGAAUGGCAGCACAGGAGAGCUUGCUCUCUGGGUGGCGAGUGGCGGACGGGUGAGGAAUACAUCGGAAUCUACUUUUUCGUGGGGGAUAACGUAGGGAAACUUACGCUAAUACAGCAUACGACCUACGGGUGAAAGCAGGGGAUCUUCGGACCUUGCGCGAUUGAAUGAGCCGAGGUCGGAUUAGCUAGUUGGCGGGGUAAAGGCCCACCAAGGCGACGAUCCGUAGCUGGUCUGAGAGGAUGAUCAGCCACACUGGAACUGAGACACGGUCCAGACUCCUACGGGAGGCAGCAGUGGGGAAUAUUGGACAAUGGGCGCAAGCCUGAUCCAGCCAUACCGCGCGGGUGAAGAAGGCCUUCGGGUUGUAAAGCCCUUUUGUUGGGAAAGAAAUCCAGCUGGUUAAUACCCGGUUGGGAUGACGGUACCCAAAGAAUAAGCACCGGCUAACUUCGUGCCAGCCGCCGCAGUAA